rnacentral:rRNA from 1 species
UAUUUUUUCUAAAGCUAAAUACUGGCCAGAGACCGAUAGCUCACUAGUCGAGUGAUCGAAAGAUGAAAACCACUUUGAAAAGGGGGUUAAAUAGCACGUGAAAUUGUUGAAAGGGAANCGUUUAUCACCAGACUUUUUCUAGGGGGAUCAUCCGGUGUUCUCACCGGUGCACUUCCCCUAGUUGAGGCCAGA